rnacentral:rRNA from 1 species
GAGAUGUGUGAUGACGCAUAUCAAUAAGCGGAGGAAAAGAAACUAACAAGGAUUCCCUUAGUAACGGCGAGUGAAGCGGGAAGAGCUCAAAUUUGAAAUCUUCAAGGUUCUACCUUGACGAAUUGUAGUUUAUAGAAGUGUUUUCUGUUAGUGGAGUGGCAAAAGUUCUUUGGAAUAGGACAUCAUAGAGGGUGAGAAUCCCGUAUUUGGUCAUUCCUCCUAGCGUUGUGAUACACUUUCAACGAGUCGGAUUGUUUGGGAAUGCAGUCCAAAAUGGGUGGUAAAUUUCAUCUAAAGCUAAAUACUGGCGAGAGACCGAUAGCGAACAAGUACCGUGAGGGAAAGAUGAAAAGAACUUUGAAAAGAGAGUUAAACAGUACGUGAAAUUGUCAAAAGGGAAGCGUUUGACACCAGUGUUGUUUUCUCGAAAAUCUAUUAAAAAUGGUGGGAUGUUGUGUUGUAUUGACUUUAUCAGCUUUCUGCACUUUUUUUCCUAUCUUUUUUUAAUGCACUUUUCGUUUAACAAGUCAACAUCAAUUUCUUUUGUUGUAAAGAGAGUCAUGAGGAAGGUGGCUUUCUUUUCGGAGAAAGUGUUUAUAGUCCUUUGGACCUUCUGCAAUCGGAGAGAUUGAGGUCUGCAGCGUAGAUCCUUCGGGGUUAGAUACAUUUGUGCUAAGUUAUAGCUUUUCAUAGACAACAUGUUGACUAUGAUUGAGUCAUUGUAGCUUACUCGCUUAUGCUAUUUUACCUACGCUUAGGAUGUUGAAGAUGUAGCACAUCAU